rnacentral:rRNA from 1 species
GAUGAACGCUGGCGGCGUGCCUAAUACAUGCAAGUCGAGCGAACGGACGAGAAGCUUGCUUCUCUGAUGUUAGCGGCGGACGGGUGAGUAACACGUGGAUAACCUACCUAUAAGACUGGGAUAACUUCGGGAAACCGGAGCUAAUACCGGAUAAUAUUUUGAACCGCAUGGUUCAAAAGUGAAAGACGGUCUUGCUGUCACUUAUAGAUGGAUCCGCGCUGCAUUAGCUAGUUGGUAAGGUAACGGCUUACCAAGGCAACGAUGCAUAGCCGACCUGAGAGGGUGAUCGGCCACACUGGAACUGAGACACGGUCCAGACUCCUACGGGAGGCAGCAGUAGGGAAUCUUCCGCAAUGGGCGAAAGCCUGACGGAGCAACGCCGCGUGAGUGAUGAAGGUCUUCGGAUCGUAAAACUCUGUUAUUAGGGAAGAACAUAUGUGUAAGUAACUGUGCACGUCUUGACGGUGCCUAAUCAGAAAGCCACGGCUAACUACGUG